GAGAGUUAAACAGUACGUGAAAUUGUUGAAAGGGAAACGAUUGAAGCCAGUCGUACCUUCGGGUAAUCAGCCUUUCGGGUGCGAUUCUGUGGAGUUUGAGGAGCUUAACACCUUCAUGCUUUUGCAUAUUCGUGCUCUUGGGUGUACUUGCCCGUGUGGUUGGUUAACAUCAAUUUCGGGCACCAUAAAAUGGCUGGAGGAAUGUAGCUUCGAUCUUGUAUUGAAGUGUUAUAGCCUUCGGUAGAUGUGGUGAUCGAGAUUGAGGAUUGCAACGGAUACCUUUCGGGGCUACCUGUCUGAUCUCUGAUCGUUGCUUUGGUGCUGAAAGCUUGCUUAUGGUUAUCAAAGUCGAUGGUCAAUAGGUUAGAAUGGGUUAAAUUCGUUAAGGAUGUUGACGUAAUGGCUUUAAACGA
rnacentral:rRNA from 1 species